rnacentral:lncRNA from 1 species
CUUUACCCAUUUCAAUCGAAAGUUUGAUAACAGAUGCUAUGGUAUCAACUACAUCGAUCAUGUCAUGGAAUGAAUCAAACGAUUUUAUGAAAUUCGAAAUGACCUGCGAAAAUUGGUUUCUCCCUGAAACGAUAUACCCAUUUCGUGUCGUUCUUAUGGAAGUUACGGUGAACAGAAAAUACACAGUCAUCUCAUCUUCACCAUCAUCAACAGAUAGCAUGACAUCUUUCGUACCCAAGCUAAUUUCAAAGACCGGCCAACACUUCAGUUCCAUAACGUCGACAGAGAAUACUAUCAAAACGAUCACAACUCACGACGUUCAUAUCAACAAAUAAGUAUUUGAGAGAAUUAUAGAGAAG